GUUUGUUUCAGCAGCACAUUUACUAAAAAAAUUCAGAACGAUAUGGAGAAUAUUAGCCUGACCCCUGUGCUAAGAUGACAAGGAAAUUCAGGAAGCAUUCUAUAGUUUU